AACCGUAUUGGGCCUUAACUCCACGACAAAUCCAUAAAAUGAACCGACCGACUCAAUCACACUGGUGAAUUUUUGUGGCCUUUUCGUGUUCUUUCCUUCCAAAUAAUACUUAGUAACUGAAAAAUCAAAAAAAAAAAAAAAAGUGAAAAAGUGAUCAGUCUUGAGAUUUUGAUGAUGGACUCAUCGGCGCCGUCCAACUUAGCUCCCUUGUCGGAGGAGUCGCCGCCGGCAGAAACCUCCGCCAGAGAUUGCAGCAAUAAUCCUCCUGAUCAUAACAAUAUUAACGAUGAAGUUCCUUCCGCGUUCUCUUCCGUUCCUGCUCGUCCUCCAAUUCAGACAUCUUCUCAAAAAUAUGCACCUCUAGAUUGGUCUGGAUAUUUUGACCGUGAGGAUGAUGUUUCCAUUCCUGGUUCCAAUGAUGUCUUUCAUGUCUACUUGGCAGGAACACAAGGACCAGUUAUCUUUUGUUUGCAUGGAGGUGGUUAUACUGGGCUUUCAUUUGCACUGUCUGCAAGUAAAAUUAAGGAGAAAGUUCGUGUUGUAGCUAUGGACUUCAGAGGACAUGGAAAGUCAUCCACAGAAAAUGAGUUAGAUUUGUCUAUUGAGACUCUGUGCAGUGAUGUAUUAGCUGUGUUGAAGACAAUGUAUGGAGAUUCUCCUCCCGCAAUUGUGCUUGUUGGCCACAGCAUGGGAGGGUCCGUUGCGGUUCAUGUUGCUGCAAGGAAACAGCUACCUACCUUGUGUGGACUUGUUGUAGUGGAUGUUGUUGAGGGUACAGCAAUGGCCUCAUUGAUUCAUAUGCAGAAAAUUCUUACAAACAGAAUGCAGCAUUUUCCUACCAUUGAGAAAGCGAUUGAAUGGAGUGUCAAAGGAGGCUCUUUAAGAAAUAUAGAGUCAGCACGAGUAUCAAUUCCUAGUACUCUAAUUUACGAUGAUUCAAAGAGAUGUUAUACCUACACAGCGAAACUGGAGGAAACAGAACAACAUUGGAGAGGCUGGUAUGAAGGCCUUUCAGAAAAAUUUUUAUCAAGCCCUGUACCAAAACUCUUGCUUCUGGCUGGGACAGAUAGGCUGGACAGGUUUUUUCUGUUUAAGUCAACAACAUUUACAAGAUUUAGAGCUGUGCAUGAUGUUUUUACUUGGGUUACUUCCAAACAGCUCUUUAGAGUUGCAUUGUUACGUUCUACUGCCCAAAUUCAGAAUAUCAUUCUCCAAAAUAGCUCUCACAAUAGGCCAAAUGCAAGGCAAGUUUCAGAUGGUGGUAGUUAGACAUACAGGCCAUGCUAUACAGGAAGAUGUACCUGAUGAAUUUGCUGAUUUUAUACUUAAUUUUGUUUCUCGGAAUCGGAUAGGUCCUCGAGGAAUUGAGAUUCCAGGAAUAAAAAGUUGGAGAUCGUAGUCAAAUGCAAUAAACAACCAAAGCAUUUUAGGAGAAGCGCCACCAUGAUGGUGCUACGGCUGUCAGGUUGCGAUUGUACUGGUUGUGUAUGUAAUGCUUUUGCUAAAAAUUUCCAAGAGUCAUGUCAUGAAGACUUGCUGAAAGUGAUUUUAGCUUCCUGAGGUAUCACAUUGUUAGAUUACUGGAAAACAAAGUAGGGUAAUGUUAAACUUGCAGGAUUAUAUCCAUUGCUUGUUGUUCACUUUGAUGACCAAAAAGUUCAAACUCGAAUGAAAUAUCAGUUGAGAUUUUUUUGCUCAACUGGUAAGAACAUCGUUUUCUUUA